ensembl:lncRNA
ACGUGCUUCCCCGGGCCAGAGAGCAGGUCCCCGGGCGGGGGCUGGGGUGGCUCCCGGGAGGCGGGGAGGGAGCCGGGACGCCACGUCGCCUGCCCUGCCCGGGCUGCACACUCCGCUCCGCCCAGCCCUGCCGGGCCUCCCCAUAGAAGAGUCCCCUGGACUGCAAUGAGAUCCAACCAGUCAGUCCUAAAGGAAAUCAGUCCUGAAUAUUCAUUGGAAGAACUGAUGCUGAAGCUGAAAUUCCAAUACUUUGGCCACCUGAUGCGAAGAACUGACUCAUUGGAAAACACCUUGAUGCUGGACAAGAUUGAAGGCAGGAGGAGAAGGGGACAACAGAGGAUGAGAUGGUUGGAUGGCAUCACCAAUUUGAUGGACAUGAGUUUGAGCAAGCUCUGGGAGUUGGUGAUGGACAGGGAAGCCUGGUGUGCUGCAGUCCACGGGGUCACAAAGAGUUGAACACGAGUGAACUGAACUGAAUUUCCUCUCUCUGAAUUUAUUUCUCUUGCUGAAAGAGAAGUUUGACUCCUGCAGCUGGAUAGUUUUGAAGAGUAAUAUUCAAUAGUGUAUUAAUGAUCAGUUCUUUUCCUGUAGGACUUUUACUUGAGUAAUGUUCCAAGUUAGAGGUUAUACCCAGAAAUAAAUGACUGGCUCACCAAUGGAAGGACAAACCUCGAGCACUGGUAGGUG